UGACCUCAAAUCAGGUAGGAUUACCCGCUGAACUUAAGCAUAUCAAUAAGCCGGAGGAA
rnacentral:rRNA from 1 species